GGGGUUGUGGUGUAGCCUGGUCUAACACGUCGCCCUGUCAAGGCGAAGACCGCGGGGCGCCUGCGAGCAGUCAAGCCUG
rnacentral:tRNA from 1 species